GUCGAACGGAUUAUUCUUUAUAGCUUGCUAUGGGGACAAUUAGUGGCAGACGGGUGAGUAAUGCAUAGGAAUCUACCUAGUAGUAUAGGAUAGCCACUAGAAGUGGUGGGUAAUACUGUAUAAUCCCUGCGGGGGAAAGAUUUAUCGCUACAUGAUGAGCCUAUGUUAGAUUAGCUAGUUGGUGGGGUAAAGGCCUACCAAGGCAGUGAUCUAUAGCUGGUCUGAGAGGAUGAUCAGCCACACUGGAACUGAGACACGGUCCAGACUCCUACGGGAGGCAGCAGUGGGGAAUAUUGGACAAUGGGCGAAAGCCUGAUCCAGCUAUGCCGCGUGAGUGAGGAAGGCCUUAGGGUUGUAAAACUCUUUCAGUAGGGAAGAUAAUGACGGUACCUAUAA
rnacentral:rRNA from 1 species